GACGUAGGGCGCGAGCGUUGUCCGGAUUUAUUGGGCGUAAAGAGCGUGUAGGCGGCCAGGUAGGUCUGCUGUGAAAACUCGAGGCUCAACCUCGAGACGUCGGCGGAAACCAUCUGGCUAGAGUCCGGAAGAGGAGAGUGGAAUUCCUGGUGUAGCGGUGAAAUGCGCAGAUAUCAGGAAGAACACCCGUGGCGAAGGCGGCUCUCUGGGACGGUACUGACGCUGAGACGCGAAAGCUAGGGGAGCAAACGGG
rnacentral:rRNA from 1 species